rnacentral:lncRNA from 1 species
UUGAAUCCCCAACAGAGUUACAUAUUUUUUCUUGGUAAAAACAAACAUGCAAGUUCAUUUGGGAACUCAAAUCGAUUUUUGACCGUCUUCUCAAAAUAGGUCGAUUUUAGAUUUAAAAUUUAAGAAGUUUCAGAGUUGUUUGAAGGAAAUAGGGUUCAAUUUUGGGCAGAGGAGGCAAAGAGGAGUAUAGGGUGUGUUUUUGGUGUCCAUUAGAGUCGACACCGCUGUGGGGGGCAGAGCAGCCGCUCCUUUGGACGAAUAUUCGUUGAGCUAGGCUGGGGUUUGAGGGUUGAUCUUUGGGGGAUUGGAAAGAGGAGAAGACGGGGAACGGAUGGCGUUAAUUUGGGUAGAUUUGGAGUUAUGCCACUAGCGACGGUGAUUUCCGGCCGGCGACGGACGGUAGAGGGACAGAGGUUUACGGUGGUGUUACACCGGUGGUCAGUUCGUACGAGAAAGGAG